AACGAACGCUGGCGGCAGGCCUAACACAUGCAAGUCGAGCGCCCCGCAAGGGGAGCGGCAGACGGGUGAGUAACGCGUGGGAAUCUACCCGAUGGUACGGAAUAGCCCAGGGAAACUUGGAGUAAUACCGUAUAAGCCCGCAAGGGGAAAGAUUCAUCGCCAUCGGAUGAGCCCGCGUUGGAUUAGCUAGUUGGCGGGGUAAUGGCCCACCAAGGCGACGAUCCAUAGCUGGUCUGAGAGGAUGAUCAGCCACACUGGGACUGAGACACGGCCCAGACUCCUACGGGAGGCAGCAGUGGUGAAUAUUGGACAAUGGGCGCAAGCCUGAUCCAGCCAUGCCGCGUGAGUGACGAAGGUCUUCGGAUUGUAAAGCUCUUUUGGCGGGGACGAUAAUGACGGUACCCGCAGAAUAAGCCCCGGCUAACUUCGUGCCAGCCGCCGCCGUAAGAC
rnacentral:rRNA from 1 species